GACGAACGCUGGCGGCGUGCUUAACACAUGCAAGUCGAACGAUGAAGAAAAGAAUCGAAGCUUCGGCAGAAAUUGAUUUCGGAUUAGUGGCAGACGGGUGAGUAACGCGUGAGCAACCUACCUCUUACAAAGGGAUAGCCUCGGGAAACCGGGAUUAAUACCAUAUAACAUUGCGACGAAGCAUUUCGCUGCAAUCAAAGCUACGGCGGUAAGAGAUGGGCUCGCGUCCCAUUAACCGGAUGGUGAGGUAACGGCUCACCAUAGUGACGAUGGGUAACCGGGCUGAGAGGGUGAACGGUCACACUGGAACUGAGACACGGUCCAGACUCCUACGGGAGGCAGCAGUGGGGAAUAUUGCACAAUGGAGGGAACUCUGAUGCAGCGACGCCGCGUGAGUGAUGAAGGAAUUCGUUUCGUAAAACUCUGUUCUAUGGGAAGAAAAGGACUGUACCAUAGGAGAAAGCUCCGGCUAAAUACGUG
rnacentral:rRNA from 1 species